rnacentral:rRNA from 1 species
GACGAACGCUGGCGGCGUGCUUAACACAUGCAAGUCGAACGGAAAGACCCUGCUUUUGUGGGGUGCUCGAGUGGCGAACGGGUGAGUAACACGUGAGUAACCUGCCCUUGACUUUGGGAUAACUUCAGGAAACUUGGGCUAAUACCGGAUAGGAGCUCCUGCUGCAUGGUGGGGGUUGGAAAGUUUCGGCGGUUGGGGAUGGACUCGCGGCUUAUCAGCUUGUUGGUGGGGUAGUGGCUUACCAAGGCUUUGACGGGUAGCCGGCCUGAGAGGGUGACCGGCCACAUUGGGACUGAGAUACGGCCCAGACUCCUACGGGAGGCAGCAGUGGGGAAUAUUGCACAAUGGGCGGAAGCCUGAUGCAGCAACGCCGCGUGCGGGAUGACGGCCUUCGGGUUGUAAACCGCUUUCGCCUGUGACGAAGCGUGAGUGACGGUAAUGGGUAAAGAAGCACCGGCUAACUACGUG